UGGGGAAUAUUGGGCAAUGGGCGCAAGCCUGACCCAGCCACGCCGCGUGAGUGAUGAAGGCCUUCGGGUCGUAAAGCUCUGUGGGGAGGGACGAAUAAGUUCGGAGCUAAUACCUCCGGAUCCUGACGGUACCUCCUUAGCAAGCACCGGCUAACCCUGUGCCAGCAGCCGCGGUAAUACAGGGGGUGCAAACGUUGCUCGGAAUUAUUGGGCGUAAAGCGCGCGUAGGCGGCUACCUAAGUCGGAUGUGAAAGCCCCUGGCUCAACUGGGGAAGUGCACCCGAAACUGAGUGGCUUGAAUACCAAAGAGGGUCGCGGAAUUCCCGGUGUAGAGGUGAAAUUCGUAGAUAUCGGGAGGAACACCGGUGGCGAAGGCGGCGACCUGGGUGGAUAUUGACGCUGAGGCGCGAAAGCGUGGGGAGCAAACAG
rnacentral:rRNA from 1 species